rnacentral:lncRNA from 1 species
UGUGAAAAUUUUGAUAGGUUAUAGUUGAGUCAGAAUCCCUUCACAGCCCAUACUUAAGUAACACUAGAGAAAAAGGAGAGAAAAAAUCUCUUAAUUAAAAUGAAAGCGAAAUGCUUGAUAGAUCAUGGUUGAAUUAAAUCUCUUCAUGAUUCAUAUUUGUUCUUGUUUUAGACUUUAAUCAAGAGACAUUAUAAGAGAAACCAUAAGAAGGCUUUCUA